rnacentral:rRNA from 1 species
ACGGGUGAGUAACGCGUAGGAAUAUGCCUUAAAGUGGGGGACAACUUGGGGAAACUCAAGCUAAUACCGCAUAAUUUCUUAGGAAAAAAGCUGGGGACCUUCGGGCCUGGCGCUUUAAGAUUAGCCUGCGUCCGAUUAGCUAGUUGGUAGGGUAAAGGCCUACCAAGGCGACGAUCGGUAGCUGGUCUGAGAGGAUGGCCAGCCACACUGGAACUGAGACACGGUCCAGACUCCUACGGGAGGCAGCAGUGGGGAAUAUUGGACAAUGGGGGCAACCCUGAUCCAGCAAUGCCGCGUGUGUGAAGAAGGCCUGAGGGUUGUAAAGCACUUUCAGUGGGGAGGAGGGUUGAUAGUUUAAGAGACGAUUAACUGGACGUUACCCACAGAAGAAGCACCGGCUAACUCCGUGCCAGCAGCCGCGGUAAUACGGAGGGUGCGAGCGUUAAUCGGAAUUACUGGGCGUAAAGAGUUCGUAGGUGGUUGGAUAAGUUAUCUGUGAAAUCCCUGGGUUUAACCUGGGCAGGUCAGAUAAUACUGUUUGACUCGAGUAUGGGAGAGGGUAGUGGAAUUUCCGGUGUA